rnacentral:lncRNA from 1 species
UUCGCUGUAGGGUAAGAAGAGUCGGAAAUGAGCUUUGUCAUCUGAUCAAACGGCUGUAAUAAACAGAAACUACCUAAGCAGUGAACCAUGUUACAACUUACAAGCAAUGACCAUAAACAUGUUACUAUCUUCAGACAGAUUAUAAAAAGCUAAAACGUCAAUAACCAAAGUGAUAAUAACAGAAACGAUCAAGUUAAGACCAUGAUAACCAUCAGACUUUACAAAUUCACAAUCGAAAAAAGCCAUGAGACCUUUCAGGUUUAUCAGAAAACAAGCCAUGAGACUUUACAAAUUCAUUGGAUACAAGCCAUGAGACCUUACAAUUUUAUUACAAACAAGCCAUAAGACUUUACGAAUUCAUCAGAAACAAGCCAUAAGAGUUUACAAAUUCAUCAGAAACAAGCCUUAAAUCAGAGAAACAUAAACGAACAAGCAGACCCAUCAAUAGAAUUUAACAGACCC